rnacentral:rRNA from 1 species
CCACACGACUCUCGGCAACGGAUAUCUCGGCUCUCGCAUCGAUGAAGAACGUAGCAAAAUGCGAUACCUGGUGUGAAUUGCAGAAUCCCGCGAACCAUCGAGUUUUUGAACGCAAGUUGCGCCCGAGGCCUUCUGGCUGAGGGCACGCCUGCCUGGGCGUCACGC